rfam:Enterococcus sp. 9E7_DIV0242 scaffold00005, whole genome shotgun sequence.
AAAUAAAAGCAGAAGCACCCGCUUCUCGCCUUAGUUGAGUAUAUCACUGGGCUGGAUAAGAGGAUUCCUUGUAUCGGUAAGAUAUGAGUAUGAAUUUACGCGGGUUCUGAAUGGAACCGGCUUUUUUUAUGCCUU